rnacentral:rRNA from 1 species
GACGAACGCUGGCGGCGUGCUUAACACAUGCAAGUCGAACGGAAAGGCCCUGCUUUUGUGGGGUGCUCGAGUGGCGAACGGGUGAGUAACACGUGAGUAACCUGCCCUUGACUUUGGGAUAACUUCAGGAAACUGGGGCUAAUACCGGAUAGGAGCUCCUGCUGCAUGGUGGGGGUUGGAAAGUUUCGGCGGUUGGGGAUGGACUCGCGGCUUAUCAGCUUGUUGGUGGGGUAGUGGCUUACCAAGGCUUUGACGGGUAGCCGGCCUGAGAGGGUGACCGGUCACAUUGGAACUGAGAUACGGCCCAGACUCUUACGGGAGGCAGCAGUGGGGAAUAUUGCACAAUGGGCGGAAGCCUGAUGCAGCAACGCCGCGUGCGGGAUGACGGCCUUCGGGUUGUAAACCGCUUUCGCCUGUGACGAAGCGUGAGUGACGGUAAUGGGUAAAGAAGCACCGGCUAACUACGUG